AACGAACGCUGGCGGCAGGCUUAACACAUGCAAGUCGAGCGCCCCGCAAGGGGAGCGGCAGACGGGUGAGUAACGCGUGGGAAUCUACCUUUUGCUACGGAAUAACUCAGGGAAACUUGUGCUAAUACCGUAUGUGCCCUUCGGGGGAAAGAUUUAUCGGCAAAGGAUGAGCCCGCGUUGGAUUAGCUAGUUGGUGAGGU
rnacentral:rRNA from 1 species